AGAAACGGCUUUGUUAUGAAAUCCCUUGGUAUAUUCUCCGAUAUACUCAGGAUUCAGUUCUGGUAGGGAAGUUCUCAGCAAUCCAUUUUACUGAGGAUCAUGUUCAUUCUUUACUGCUGAACUGAUGCAGGGGAUUCAAACUAAAGCAUCCAAGGAGAAAGAGGAAAGCCUCACAGCAGCAGAGCAGACUGGGGGCGCCCACCGCAAAAACCGACCUGCCAGCAAUAAUCUCAGGUCCCCUGGGCAAGCCUCUCCAUGCAGCUAGGAGACAGUUCGAUUCCCCUUUGAUUGCUCAUGCAAAUGCAUCCUAUCGAUAUCACAAAAGGGAUCACUGAAAAUGAACUUCCUGCUCUCACUUUAGCUGCCUGCCGCCUGGGCUGGGAGGAGCCAGCAGCGCCUAGAAUCUCAUUAGACCUGAAGCCGGGAAGUGGUUUAGAGCAUUACAUCAUGAGGUUGUCAAGGUAACUGGCCAGGCUGCCUCUCUGGAAUCCUGUGGUUCGCGAUGACAGGUUCUCCCAACCAGGUGCAAUAUUGUGAGCUGCCCUAUGGAGAGGCCAUGUUGCAAGGAACUGUGGGAAGUCCAUAGCUGGUGUGCCCAACAACCUGCAAGGGACUGAAUCUUACCAGCAGCCAUGUACGUGAAUUGAGGAGCAAAUCCUUUCUCAGAAGAAUCUUCCGCCAUGAAUGAGAGUUCCUGUUGCUCCACAUCCUCACCG